rnacentral:rRNA from 1 species
UACAGAGGGUGCGAGCGUUAAUCGGAAUUACUGGGCGUAAAGCGCACGUAGGCGGACUGUUAAGUCGGGGGUGAAAUCCUGGGGCUCAACCUCAGAAUUGCCUCCGAUACUGGCAGUCUCGAGUGCGGGAGAGGCGAGUGGAACUCCGUGGUGAUAGCGGUGGAAUGCGCAGAUAGUCAGGAAGAACACCAACGGCGAAGGCAGCUCGCUGGGACGGUACUGACGACUGGAGACGCGAAAGCGUGGGGAGCGAACAGG